GGGAAGCUGGGCUAUGGCCUUACUUUCAAUGGCUUGGCUUACUUCCCUGCAGAGAAAGAGGAAGUAAAAUAAGGGUAGGGAGGGGAAGGAUGUGCUUGCU